rnacentral:rRNA from 1 species
CUUUCCUGUUCUUCCGAGGGUACUUGGGGGGGCCAGUCUCUUUUUCCUCGUAGAUAGACCACGCCCACCAGCUCUACCCUCCGGUCGUUUCGCUCUCCCCUCUAGCUCGCAGCCGCCGCGCGUGACUCCAGAUCUCCCGCGGCGCGACCAUGGCGGCGGAAGGCAAGGUCCCGACGCUGGCCGAGGAAUAUUCACUCCCACCCAAGGAGGUCCCUGUGGAAAAACCAGCUGAGGAGAAAUCUGCUACGAUCACUGAGGCCUCACCAGCUGAUGAGCCUGCUGCUGAUGUUGAGGAAAAAAGUGAAACUCCUGAGGUGAAAGAGCCAGAAGCGGAAGAAACUGUUCCUGCUGCAGAGGAAAGCGAUGCGGCUCCUGAGGAAACUGAAGAGAAACCAGAAAUUGUGAUUGAGACGGCUCCAGCAGAUUUUCGUUUCCCCACAACAAAUCAAACAAGACAUUGCUUCACACGCUAUGUUGAAUACCAUAGGUGCGUAGCUGCAAAAGGAGAUGAUGCUCCUGAGUGUGAAAAGUUUGCAAAGUACUACCGAUCACUAUGCCCAAGUGAAUGGGUUGAACGUUGGAACGAGCAACGGGAGAAUGGUACGUUCCCUGGACCCCUGUAAGCUUCAGUGGCGCUGGAAGGACAAACAUGCCAUCAUCCCCACCUCCCUGGUGACUGGACAAAGUUACUUUGUGCCGAGAAUUCGUCACCUUCCUUUCCUUUUUGAGGACUACUUACAAAUAAGUUUUUGACUUGAUGUAAGCUGAAGGUGCUGCCCAUCAGUUUCUCCCAACGAUCAUUCACUGGAUUUUAUACAACAUCCACCUUUGGAAUUUGACUGAACUUGCUGUUUUGCGUGGCACGGUUCAAGGCGGUCAUUUUGGUUGCACAGGAAAUUUCUAAACCGCAUGGAAUAAAAUUAGCAACCUAGUUCUAGCAGGGCCGAUGUUUCUGAAACCCAUUUCAUUUCUCCUGUCUUCUAAGUAGUACAUUUUAUUUGGUUAUAUAGCUUAUAGCACAUAUAAUCUGCAUAAAGGAGGCAAUGACCUGCUUCUUAAUUCACAAGGCAUUGUGUUUACUUGAAAUUUGGUGUGGUUACUAUAUAUCA